rnacentral:siRNA from 1 species
AUGUCUGUCAUCGGUUCUAACCUA